GUACGGGAGGCAGCAGUGGGGAAUAUUGGACAAUGGGCGCAAGCCUGAUCCAGCAAUACCGCGUGUGUGAAGAAGGCCUUAGGGUUGUAAAGCACUUUCAAUUGGGAGGAAAACCUACCGGUCAAUACCCGGUAGCUUGACAUUACCUUUAGAAGAAGCACCGGCUAACUCCGUGCCAGCAGCCGCGGUAAUACGGAGGGUGCAAGCGUUAAUCGGAAUUACUGGGCGUAAAGCGUGCGUAGGCGGUUCGUUAAGUCAGAUGUGAAAGCCCUGGGCUCAACCUGGGAACUGCAUUUGAAACUGGCGGACUAGAGUUUAGUAGAGGGGAGUGGAAUUUCAGGUGUAGCGGUGAAAUGCGUAGAUAUCUGAAGGAACACCAGUGGCGAAGGCGACUCCCUGGACUAAAACUGACGCUGAGGUACGAAAGCGUGGGUAGCAAACAGGAUUAGAUACCCGAGUAGUCCC
rnacentral:rRNA from 1 species